GCCGACGUGGCGGAAUUGGUAUACGCGCCAGCUUGAGGUGCUGGUUCUCGCAAGAGAUUGGAGGUUCGAGUCCUCUCGUCGGCA
rnacentral:tRNA from 1 species